rnacentral:rRNA from 1 species
UACAGAGGGCAGCUACCCAGCAAUGGGAUGCGAAUCUCGAAAGCCUGUCUCAGUUCGGAUUGGAGGCUGAAACCCGCCUCCAUGAAGUUGGAUUCGCUAGUAAUCGCGCAUCAGCCAUGGCGCGGUGAAUACGUUCCCGGGCCUUGUACACACCGCCCGUCAAGCCAUGGGAGCCGGGGGUGCCUGAAGUUCGUGACCGCAAGGAGCGACCUAGGGCAAAACUGGUGACUGGGGCUAAGUCGUAACAAGGUAGC